rnacentral:rRNA from 1 species
AGACGCUGGCGGCGUGCCUCAGACAUGCAAGUCGUACGGGGCAGCGCAAGCUGCUUAGUGGCGGACGGGUGAGUAACACGUGGGCAAUCUGCCUCUGUGACCGGGAUAACGCUUCGAAAGGGGCGCUAAUACCGGAUGAGAUCGUAGGGUCGCAUGACCCAGCGAUCAAAGGGCGGCCUCUUAACAAUGCUGCCGCACAGGGAUGAGCUCGCGUCCCAUUAGCUAGUUGGCGGGUAAAGGCCCACCAAGGCAACGAUGGGUAGCCGGCCUGAGAGGGUGGCCGGCCACACUGGGACUGAGACAAGGCCCAGACUCCUACGGGAGGCAGCAGUCGGGAAUCUUGCACAAUGGGCGAAAGCCUGAUGCAGCGACGCCGCGUGAGCGAAGAAGGCCUUCGGGUUGUAAAGCUCUGUCUUAGGGGACGAAAAGCCUCUGGUAAAUAGCCAGAGGGAAUGACGGUACUCUAGGAGGAAGCCCCGGCUAACUACGUG